rnacentral:misc_RNA from 1 species
GGGAAUGCCCGUAGCCAGAGAGCGGACACGAGCAUCUAUGCUCAGAACGUCUGCUGCUCCGUCCGUUUGUCUGGUCGCGUGUCGCUAGCAUGUUAGCAGUCGGGAGGAGGAUGCCUGUAACGCUGGUGAGUGCUUGAUAUGCCACGACUCACCGCCGAUAGAAGCGAAACAAGGAAUGUGCGGGUGCGUUCGUUUGACGUGCUGUAUGAAAGGUGACUGGAGUUCGCAUUCAGUGAUAUUGUUCCUCUGAAGCGCUUCGGGGGCUGACAGUCUGAAAACCCGCAAAGUGUCGUCGCCAAAGCAGAAAAUAAACGCAGAUCCUGAAGAAAGCUUUUCGACGUGGCCGGCGCUGCGUUUCCAGAUAUUCGUUGCACGCGACAAACCUGCCGACUGCGAAAAGCAGUGUCUAGGCACGGACGAGGACAUGAGUUCACCGGAUGCGCGUGCUGAUAGCCACUGGAGCAGCAGCGUGCUCGUGCAACUGGGGGUAUCGCUGCUUCGCAAACGCAUCGAGCUGUCUGCUAGUACUUGCGUUGCACCCAUGUCAGAACAGAAUAGAAUAGAACGAGUCCAGUCAGGGAACGCGGGAGAGCAUAUUCAAGUGGGAAUCCCUUCCAAUUGCUCUCAACGCGAGCCUUUGCGGGCGUUUUCGUCAACUGCUUACGUUUCCUCUCUAUGAUCGCUGACUUUAACGACGUCGGCUUCCGCUUUCCGUCCGACUCUGUUGUCCGCAUCCGAAGGACGUUCAUGGCAGUGUUCAAGUGCCCGAUUUCGACGCUGCCGGCUGUUGUCUACGCAUUUCGUGCACAGGCAAACGUUGCGAUCUACGCGUCGCUUGCCAUGCUGUUCGUUUUGGUGUACAGUCUGGGUGCGGCCUCCGCGGCGGCGAAAAGUGGAUAUGGUCAGGUAUGCCCGAAGGUCCACCACGCCUCCGUAUCCGAAGGCCGCUCUGUGGCGCGACAAACGCUUGCUUUAUGACUUGGUACGAGCCCUUACGGGGUAACGGGGGCUUCCGCGUCUGCCAUUCUCUGAUUCCGCACCUGGUGUUGUACGCUACGUUUGCGAGCCUCUUCUGGGUCGCGAUCCGAGGCGACUAGUCGGUCCGCUGCACGCGCGGGCGCGCGCUGCUGCAUUUGUUGUAGGUUUAGAGAUGGCGAUGUUGUCCAUGAGGAAUCAUAUACCGUCAGGAAAAUCUGGGCUAGAGAAUCGGUCGAGAAGUCUGGAUCCGCGUACGCUCACUUCAUACAGAGCCGAGAAGUACGCUACAAUGGAAUCCAUCACUGUGAUGAUCGAAGACUGAACUGAAGACUCGUUACGAUAGAAACGGUAUAGACGGGAGCCUUUGGGAGCAUAUUCCCUGAGAGGUAUGCUGCUGGUGGUGCUGGUGCUGGUGCUGGUGGUGCUGGUGCUGGUGGUUCCGAGAUCGUAUUCGUCGUUGACCACACAAAAAAUAAGACAGCUGGUCAUUCGUGUCUGAUCGAUUAUUGUUCGUGACAAGUCCAGUAAACUUGCGGAAUGAGCUUUUGCGCAAGUCAGCGAGAGACAUCGUCGAGUUCGUGCUCCUCGCGAGUCCAGCAGCGCGUAUUGGUGCGCUCACGAGUUGCCCCGAAACAAAAGUAUCUGUAUUUUGAAGCACUCAUGAUUUGAGCGUGCUCCAGGUAAGAAAAGGGGCAGAGUGGAAUCUUGUGUGAACAAAUUGAUCCGCAGCAUCGUAGAUAUGGCGAGCCCGUGUCCAACAUAGUCACGAAUCGUAUUGAUUCCGGUGGUAACGGGUCGCAGGAACCAGGCUUCCAAAUCCGAUCAGGAGUUCUGGAACUGCUUAUGAGUCCGUGAGCACUUAGAACUGCGCAUCGAACGCUGAGGGUGUAGAUCUGAAUGUGAGUUGGGGAGAAAAGCGGAUAGCUUGGACAAAGCGCGUAGUUUCCUGUUCUUUUUUAAUUUGACUCUGGCGUUGCGCAAGUGCGUUGUGCCACAGGAUGCAAGCAGCAGGCGCCUGCUUUAUCGUGCAAUCGAUAAAG